CCCAGCUGUAGACAACCGUCUAGGUUGCCUUGUAUCUAGGUAAAAGUUACACUGCUGGGAGAAAAGCAGCCAGUAGCUGGCAGGCACUAUGGGCCUGGUUAGUGCCAACUCU
ensembl:snoRNA SNORA74 Small nucleolar RNA SNORA74